UCCAGUUUCGAAUUCAGAAGGUGGAAUAUUUACAUGUUAAACCAUUACUUCUACAGAAUUGAGGAUCCACUUACACAUUUCUUCUAACAUUGGUGAUUCUUGAUUUCCCCAGUGCAAGAAUCCAUCACUUCAAACACCUGGGUUGUCUGUGGAACACCACGGACUAAAAGUAAGUCUUUCUUUAGAAUUUCAUGGCUUAAUUGUUUCAUUACGUAGCUUGCUUUCUCUGGAGCAACAUAAAUAUCUUUAAGAUAUGUCAAACUGCUUUCUUGUGUUCUAAAUGGAGUGUAGUUUCAUCCAUAUCAUUAUAGCUUAUCUGAAUGACAUAAAUAUGGUGUGUGUACAAGUUCAGCAAAUAUGACUAUCUUCUUGUCAUAACAAACAAGUGGGAAUCCUAGCUUGCAGUUGGAUCUCGUAAGUUGGCUGCUGUUAUUCUUGUUAUUUGCAUGAAAAUACACUAGUUGUGAAUAACAUUUCUGCUAUUUUUUGAGAAUAUACACUUGACUUCUGACCAUGACUAAUUAAUCAAUAAAACAGAAUGGUAUGUUGUGUAUGAUAAAAGAGCCAAAACAUGGAUAAAGUUUGUAUAGUCCUAGUUGUAGUAUCUAGCACACAAUAGCUGCUAUAUGCUCAUAUUUCAACUAAUUCAGGAAAGCAUAGCACAGCAGGCAAUAGCUACUGUAUCUAUAUAGUUGUAGUUGAACAUAGCAUUCAAGUUUACUUAGUCACCAUAGCCCUGUGUUGAUACUGUAGUAGAUAGGCAGCUGGGCUAACAUGUACUGAUGAGUUUGGUUGUAUGGUACCAUUCUGAAGAAAUGCAUGUAUCUAUAAUUUUGUUGGACAGAAGAUCCCACUGCGUCGCCUUUCUCCCAACGGUUGCGCCGAUCGACCCGUACCUCUAACCAGUGAGUUCUUCCCAUUUGCUUCGAAUUUUGAUGUGCAACUGUAGGCAUUGCUUGUUUAUCUUAAUUCCCUCAGAUCCCUAUUUGUCAGUUUGUAGUAGAACUACUCAUCUUUUCUAGACCCUCAUUAAAUUAAUUUCUAUUAGUAGAUGAUAGUUGUUUGACUAUUGGCAAACAAUCAUUCUUUACUUAUCCUUUUUGCAUCCGCAGAUUGAUUCGGCAACACAGAGAGGAUGCUUCAAAGAAGCGUGAUGAGGAAAAAGUCGGUACACCUCUAAACAGAAUAGAUGCACAAUCGUACAUAAAAACAGAAGUAUAACAUUAUCACAAAGAGAUGCUAACGUGAGUGACUUGCAUAUGUACCUUCUGAAAGGGCGAUCUCUUUCACCCAGUCAUUGAUCUUCUUGAUGCAAACAUUGCAAUGGCAGUGCAUCAUGAUCUUCAGAACAUAAGUCUUCGGCAAGUUAUCCUUUCAUUUUUUCCUGUCACACAUUCAUAAGAACCUCAUAAUCUCAUAACAAUAUGGAGAACUAGCUGUACCAUGGAUCUGUACAUAAGUCCUCUCUGUGUUUUCAUUUUUUUUCUGUAGUUUAACAACACAUUGACCAUGGAGUGUUCAGAUAUUAUUCUGACAGAGUUAGGUCAGCUGUGAAAGAGAGGCUUGGCUGCAAUUUGUGAACAUAACGACCAUAGUUUGUCUAGAAUAUUUUCAUUAGCGUCACCAGUUGUCCAUGCAAGAGCAUGACCCUUGUUUCAUUUGAUGGAUCAUUGUUCCAUCAUUCAAACAUAUAUCUCUGUUGUAAAUCUUCACAAAUACUUGAAAGAAGAAUGACAACCAGCAUGCAUCCGAAGAUUACUGAUUUGUUUAUUGGCAUUUAGGGCCUUAGAAUAAAUUUAGCAACUCAAAGGCUAUAGAAACCAUCUCACUAUGUUGGGAGGAGUCUUUCCCCACUCAUAUUGUGUCUGAAAAAACUACACUGCUACUUUGUACGCUUGUGCUUAGGUUUGAGGCCUAUAACCUUUCUCACCAUUGCAGCCCUUUUCUGUUUCCUUUGAUCUGAAAAUAUGCCAGACAAGACGAGGCUUUCAUUUUCAGGCUUGUAGCUAGGAUCAAACCGAAGAAGUUCCUCCUCUGCAAGUUUUCCAAUCUUCAUAUUUCCACGGAUCUCACAUUCUCUCCUAAGAGAAGCCCAGACCACACUAUUUGCUUUGAAAGGCAUGUUCUGGAUAAAAUGGUAAUAUUUGGGAGAGGAUGACUAAUCUAAUCUUGCCAACAUGCUCAUAUAUGUUUGUUGACUUUGACCUGGAUGCCGGUGACACUCUUUUUCAUUCAGUUUGGAGUUGGUUUGCAUUGUUUCUGCAAAAGAAAUUUGUCUGAAUGUCGUAAAGAACAGUUGGUCAUGACUCAUAUGGGUUACAGUGCAUCAUAUGUACUCUGCCCCUACACAAUAUAUAUCUCAUUAAUUAUUUCCAUGGUAUCAUAAGUCAAGGAAUAAUUUGUUUUGUUGUUUUCUGAUGUGAACUAUAUGAUAUGCACAUUUCACUCCGUUUGUGCUACUUUCUACUCUAAUUUACAUGUCGAUAUUCUAGUUUUCUGAAUCUUAAUCCAGUAACUGUAAAUAGGUCUUGAGCGCUAGUUUUGUAUGUGAGUAGUCACAUGAUGGUGGCAUUAUUCUGAACAUGCCCAAUUUUUAUAAUAGUAAAAUCCCAGUUUGUUUUUUGCCAUUCAUGUUUUAUACAAUUACUGUUUUUGCCAUUAUCUCUAUGAAUGAAUGAAUUCACCGGUGGCUUUUUUAUUCUUUGUAGGAAUGACAUACAAGAGGACCAGGGAUGAACCAUGAAGAUGGCAGUUUGCGUCAGCUGGACAUUUUGUGUAAUGGAGCCAAAAUAAUGUGUCUUUUAGCUAUCAUUUUGUAAACCUUAUGGUAUCUUGUCAACUGGGUAUUAUGUGUAAUGGAGCAAACAAUGAAUAGAGGUCUAUCAUUUUGUAAACCUAUCAGGUGUUUUGGUGGCUGAAACAUAAAUAUUCCCUCCUUUUA
rnacentral:lncRNA from 1 species